rnacentral:tRNA from 2 species
GUGCAGGUGGGCGAGUGGUUGAAGCCGCGGGAUUGUAAACCCCGUUCGAAAGACACGAUGGUUCAAAUCCAUCCCGGCACACCA